rnacentral:lncRNA from 1 species
AUUCUCUGAUUUUCUCUUGUUAAGAAUCUCUUGUUAAGAAAUCAUAGGGUCCUCUUCUGAAGCGAGCGUGGCCGAUUUUGGUCCGAUUGAUCAUAGUGAAAAAACAUGGCCCUAGUCAUAAUGGGUCCCGCAUAAUAAUGGGUCCCAAAGUCAACAAGGAUCAUGACUAUAUUUAGCCUGGUAAUGCUUAAAAGCAAAUUUUUUUUUUAGUUUGCUACUAAAAAAUUUAAAAAAUUUAAAAAAUUUAGAUUUUUUUGCUUUCAUAUAUUUACUUUAGCUAAAAAAAAUUAAAAAAAUCAACUCUAGUGGUUUUUUUGCUUAUAAGCUUAACGUCUUGUCAGGGCAAAUGUUUUUUUUGAAUUUUUUUAAUAGUCUUAACUUUUGAUUUUUUUUUAUUUUAAAUAAUUUUUUUAAUUAUUUUAUUAAAAUUUUAUAUUUUAUCGAUUCUUCUGUGGAUGGAAAUCCAAAAAUAUAAAUAAUUUUAUAUAAUUUAUAAAAAAACUCACUAAAGAUAAAAAAUUAUUUUUUAGAUUUUUUUGAAUGAAAUUAUUAUUUUUGGCCUUUUGUAUUUUUUUUCAAAUUAGAUGAAUAUUUUUAUAUUUUUAGACUAUAAUCAAGAUCAAAUGGAAAAAAGAGUUAACUAAAAUACCAAAAAACAGAGUCGGCAGAGAUUUGUAAAAGAAAAAAAAUAUUAAACUUGAAUCGUUAGAUUCGUUGACUUUUCUUUUUUUUUUUCUCUACCAAAUCAUAAAUCCAAAUAUAGCCUUGAACAAUUUAAGAUUGUAUUUCAAUAAAAAAAUUGGUAAGAUUUGUUAAGGAAAAUGAAAAAUUAAAAAAAAGAAAAUGCUACACAUCAUCCAAAGAACGGUGAUUUUUUUUUAAUAGGAAAGAAAUAUAUUGAUAAUUAUGAAAAUUGUAUAUAAAUUUAUAAAUAUUCGUAUUAACUACCGCUCAAUAAAUCUAACAAGCGAUGAUUGAGAGUGAAGUCAUGUGUCCAAUUGUUUUUGGUUUCAAUUUAUAUUUAUAUUUAAUGGGGUAUGAGGCCCAUAACCCAUGCACGCGAGAUCUAUUAUGUAUAUUAUUAAUUGAAUGACGAUAUGGAAUAAAAUUGAAUGAUAAGAAUAAGUUUGUAGAUAGAUUGUCAUAUUUUAAGACAAUUUUGAUUUGUAAUCAUACUGCUAUAAAUAUUAAAUCAAUUUAACUUUUUUUUUAUAGACAAUCUAUGUUCAUAGACUUAAAAAAAUGAAUCGAUUGAGAUCCUGUUUUGGGUAUUUAUUUAUUUUAUCUUUUUAUGUUAGUAAAUUUUUUUCAUCGUUUUUUUAAAUUUUAAAUUUUUUUAGUUUAUUUUGACAAGAAUAGUCCGAAGAUAGAUUUUUUUUUUAUCUAAUUUGAUUUUUUUUUAUUAAAAACGAUUAUAUUUUUUGACUCCUUUUGUCAAUAAAAAUUAAAAAAAUAUAAAUUUUUAAUCAAACAAAAAAAUAAAUUCACUAUAAAUAAAAACUUGAAAAUAAAAAAAUAAAAAUAUCCAAACUUGAAUCGAUGAAUCUUUUAGUCAUCCAAACCGGACCGACAUAGCACAAAAAUCAAAUCUAUUUGGAUAAACUGCAGAAUUCACGUGUAUACUGAAAAUCAAAGGCUGACAGCCUCGUCAAUCAGCGCAUUAAAUUGGAAAAUUAUUCAGUGCUUUGAGCGCAAGUCCUAGUAGUGUUCUAACAUUAGAAUGAUUGAUCUAAAAUACUGAUAUUCAUUAACUUUUGUGUAUAAAUUGUAGUCGACAUGUGCAAAUGUAUCACUCAGUAAAUGAUGUAGAGCAAUACUCUAAGAGUAUCGAAUAAUCUCUCAUUAAAUUUGGAUCAGCUGGGCUUGAAUCUGAACCGAAGUCCAGUUACAAGCAUUCACGAGGUGAGCAUCUUUUGUGAAGAUAGACCCAUCAUCCAUCCCGACCCAAUAGUGGCCGCAAAAAGUUCUGGCCCGGCCCACCUUCAUAGCACGUCCAAUUCAGAUCAUUUGUCCAAAUCGUUCGACCGAUUAGCCUAGAUUAUUCGGCCCGUUUUUUGGCCCAACCCAUCCGAUCCUCCACACUUCUCCAGCGCCAAGAACUGUACCAUUGGACUAAACUCAUUCAUUAAUAAAAAUAUUAAAUUUUAAUAAAUAAAUACAUCGUCAAAUAAUAAAAAAGAGGAGAAUUUUUUAGGGACCAAUAUUUGAACCCGCAACCUCGACCCUCUGCACCUAGAACCAUACUACUAGGCCAAACACUCAAUUCAUUUAUAAAAAGGUUAUGUUUUAAUAGUAAACAAAUCGCCAAACAAUAACAAGAAAAGAAGAAUAUUUGAGAGAGCAAGAUUCGAACUCACAACCUCCCUCCCCUGCAGCUUGAACCAUACUACUGGACCAAACACUUAUUCAUUUAUAAAAAUUAGUAAUUGUCCGUACCCACGAGCACUAUGUAAAAAAAAAUAUUACUUCUUAAGCAUACUCGUUAGAGUUUUGCAACAUA